rnacentral:tRNA from 1 species
CAGGGUGUGGCUCAGUUGGUAGAGUGCUACAUUUGGGAUGUAGAAGUCGCUGGUUCGACCCCAGUCACCCUGACCA